UUGCUUGUUUUUUAAGUUCAUUAAAUGUAUAAUGAACUGUGUAAUGUCCUUCCUAAGUAUAUGAACCAUCAGUCUACAGUGUCUUGAUGUGUAGUUUCCCCAACAAAAGCUAAAUUCAAGGCAUUCUAGUAUAAGUCUUUUCAGGAUGUAGCAGUCAUACAGCUCAGAUCAGCUUGGCAGUUUGGUGAGGAAGAGACCAGACAGGGAAGUUUUACUACUUUCUUCGUUGCUAGCUUUAGAAACAUGACAGACCGAUUUUAUCCUUUAUAAAAUACACUGCAGUAAGAGGUAAUGAAAGGAGUGUUGCUGGUUACCUCGGAGGUUCGGUCAUCUUGCCGUCGGGAGCAGACCCAACGACGAAACUAGUAGCCAUUCGAUGGUCUAUCUACAACAACGUCACAUUUAUUGCUACCUUUAGUGAAGGGGAGUUUCGAAAUAAAUACUGGAAAUACAAAGACCGCCUUGAGCUUAACACCACCACAGGAGAUUUGGAAAUUAAAUAUUUACAGGCAGAUGAUGACCUGAGGUACACUGUGUUAUUAGAGCAUCCAAACAAUUUAGAGCGUCAUAACUACGUUACUCUUACAGUUCGGGAAAAACUCAGAACCCCAAGCAUACACAUUAUUUCGAGGAGCCUGAAGGAUGGGUUUUGUACAAUUUCACUUUCCUGUACAUCCGAGGAUAAUGUCACUCUCUCCUGGAAACCUGAACAAGGGUUCAGUGAACGCUAUUUGAGUGGGAAGCCAAACCAGAGCUCCAAUGAGGCAGUGCUAUGGACAUCUUUUAGUCCAAACAGAAACAUAACCUUCAGCUGCACAGCCACUGAUGGUGAUCUUAAAGAGGGAAAGAAACAUAAUCUGAAAUGUCAAGAGGAUUCCUGUCACUGUCAGCAGAACUAUGCACUUUUGGUUUUCCUUUUAGUUGUGUUCAUUUGUCUCAUUGUGGGAUUUGCAUACAAAUAUAGAGCUGAAAUAGGGACCUGGUUCAGGAAUUACUGGAACACUGCUUUCACAAAAAGCUAAUCACAGCCACUGCAGUACCACAUUAACCGGGCACCAAGCUUUGAUCACUGAGUUUGUGUGUGUUACAUACAUUGUACCCUUAGGUAAUUUGUAAAUUGUAUGAAAGGUACAUUCUUCAAUACAUUUCAAUAUAUUUUUGAGUUUGUGAAUGAGACACAUUAAGUUUUUGCGAUGUUUUGUGUAUUUUUUAACUUUUAUAAUUGCAAAGUUGCAUCAUUGUCUUUAUUGUAGAGGCAAUGUACUUUAAUAUACCACUCUUACUGUGCACAAUUCAUGCUGUCCAUGGUGAUUCCUUGAACAGACUUUUAACACGAUGUGGAUGGCAAACCAUCAAAAAGUGGCACUUUUGUUUUUAGCAGUUCAAUGGUCUAUGUUUCUGUUAAAGGUCAUGUGUGUAACCUUAAAAACCACUUCUUACCUCCAAAUUCUGGCAUGGUGAAUAAUAAAACAUUAUUUGUAAUCAUUAUUAUUACAUUGCUGUUAAUACCA